CACGUAGUUAGCCGGUGCUUAUUCUUACGGUACCGUCAUGAUCCCUCUUUAUUAGAAAGAGACUUUUCGUUCCGUACAAAAGCAGUUUACAACCCGAAGGCCUUCAUCCUGCACGCGGCAUGGCUGGAUCAGGCUUUCGCCCAUUGUCCAAAAUUCCCCACUGCUGCCUCCCGUAGGAGUCUGGGCCGUGUCUCAGUCCCAGUGUGGCUGGUCGUCCUCUCAGACCAGCUACAGAUCGAAGGCUUGGUGAGCCUUUACCUCACCAACUACCUAAUCUGCCAUCGGCCGCUCCAUUCGCGCAAGGUCUUGCGAUCCCCUGCUUUCAUCCGUAGAUCGUAUGCGGUAUUAGCACAGCUUUCGCUGCGUUAUCCCCCACGAUUGGGCACGUUCCGAUGUAUUACUCACCCGUUCGCCACUCGCCGCCAGGAUUGCUCCCGCGCUGCCGUUCGACUUGCAUGUGUAAGGCAUGCCGCCAGCGUUCAAU
rnacentral:rRNA from 1 species